rnacentral:rRNA from 1 species
CUUUACUCUAGCUUGGCACUGAGUCGUACAUAUAUUUGUGCAGGAUAGGUGGGAGACUAUGAAAGAUGGACGCCAGUUCAUCUCGAGUCGUCGUUGAGAUACCACCCUCGUAUAUGUAUGCCUCUAACCCCUUUUUGGGGGACCGUGCUUGGUGGGGAGUUUAACUGGGGCGGUUGCCUCCUAAAACGUAACGGAGGCGCACAAAGGUAGGCUAGGUCCGGAUGGAAAUCGGACUGGUCGUGUAUUCGCACAAGCCUGCUUGACUGAGAGACCUACAAGUCGAUCAGAGACGAAAGUCGGUGAAAGUGAUCCGGCACCAACAUGUGGGAGUGGUGUCGCGCAACGGAUAAAAGUUA